rnacentral:rRNA from 1 species
CACGUAGUUAGCCGGGGCUUCUUAGUCAGGUACCGUCAUUUCUUCCCUGCUGAUAGAGCUUUACAUACCGAAAUACUUCCUCACUCACGCGGCGUCGCUGCAUCAGGGUUUCCCCCAUUGUGCAAUAUUCCCCACUGCUGCCUCCCGUAGGAGUUUGGGCCGUGUCUCAGUCCCAAUGUGGCCGUUCACCCUCUCAGGCCGGCUACUGAUCGUUGCUUUGGUAGGCCGUUACCCUGCCAACUGGCUAAUCAGACGCGGGUCCAUCUCAUACCGAUAAAUCUUUUCCGUCCGUAUCAUGCGAUACUAGCGGGUUAUGCGGUAUUAGCGGUCGUUUCCAACUGUUAUCCCCCUGUAUGAGGUAGGUUACCCACGCGUUACUCACCCGUCCGCCACUCAGUCACAAGAGUUCUCAUCCGAAGAUUCAAUCUCAAGUGCUUCGUUCGACUUGCAUGUGUUAAGCUACGCCGCCAGCGUUCAUCCCUGAGCCAGGAUCAAACUCU